GUUUCAAGGGAUGGUGAUAGUUCCUCCUGACACCCAACAGCCUGAGUUACUCCAAGAGUUUAAAAUUCCUGGUAAUAUAUUGGAGCUGCAGCACCAGGAUUCAAAUCUUGUGAAGUAUUUUAAAGAGGCAAAAGUUAACAAAAAGGAUUUUGUCAUUCAGAAUGACAUUCUCUACAGGCAAAAUGGACCAAUUAAACAGCUUGUGGUUCCUAGAGCAGUGAGAGAAACUGUUUUGAAGUUGGGCCAUUCUAUUCCCUGGGCUGGCCGCCUGGGGAAGCAUAAGACCUUAGCCCGUAUAAAGCGCUGUUUCUAUUGGCCUGGCUUGCGUAGAGAUGUUGUGCAGUUUUGUAGGAGCUGUCCAGAAUGUCAAGUUAAAUCAGCCAGGCUGCCCAAUAAAGCUCCUCUCCAACCUCUUCCAGUUCUGGGUACUCCAUUUCAAUGCCUGGGCAUGGACAUAGUGGGACCAGUGGAAAGGAGUAAAGCUGGAAAUCGGUUUAUGCUGGUGAUUGUAGAUUACACAACUAAAUAUCCAGAAGUGUUCUCCCUGAAAGUUGUCAAAGCAAAGAAUGUUGCAUUCUGUUUGGAGUGGAGAUGGAUUGGUGCUUCUGUUCAGUCACUGUUUAAAAUACCUAUACCUCAUUUGAACUGCAAAUGUUUGUAGUGGGAUUUACAAGUCCCCAUGCGUUGCUAUCGCCCUCCAAAUUAUAGUAAGGACUCUGUCAAUGAGUUCUCUGAAUUUCUUACUGACAUUCUCCCUAAAUAUGAUUCUAUUCUGAUUUGAGGGGAUUUUUAUGUUCACAUUUGUUGUCCAGGUGAUCAACUUGUGGAGUAUUACUCUGGCUGAGGGCUCAUCUGGUCUUGUCAUUUGCUUGCAACCUCCAACACACA